rnacentral:misc_RNA from 1 species
CCGCGGUUUCGAAAGCCUCCGGCUUCGAUCCUGUGGUUGUGGGCUUGCCCUCCUUCACAGCGGCUUCGACUGCGGCGAACGCUGCCGGAGGUAUCUCGGCGACGCCGACCUUGACCUUCUGAUCCGCGGAUUCGAACCCCAGAAAAUCCUUGGCCACGGUGAGCCCUUCGGCGGGCACCAGCCCGACGCGUGCCCCCGAUGGGAACACCGGAUCGGCGGCCAGGGCCGGAGAUGCGACAGCGAUAAAGACAACGGCGAGAAGGCGG